rnacentral:rRNA from 1 species
CCUACGGGAGGCAGCAGUAGGGAAUCUUUCACAAUGGGCGAAAGCCUGAUGGAGCAACGCCGCGUGCAGGAUGAAGGCCUUCGGGUUGUAAACUGCUUUUAUAAGCGAGAAAUAUGAUGGUAACUUAUGAAUAAGGAUCGGCUAACUACGUGCCAGCAGCCGCGGUCAUACGUAGGAUCCGAGCAUUAUCCGGAGUGGCUGGGUGUAAAGAGUUGCGUAGGUGGGAUAAUAAGUAGCGAUGGAAAACUGGGGGCUCAACCAUUCAGACUAUUUGCGAAACUGGUAAGCUCUAGACCGUUAGGGGUAACUGGAAUUUCUAGUGUAGGAGUGAAAGCCGUAGAUAUUAGAAGGAACAGCAAUAGCGUAGGCAGGUUACUGGGACGGUUCUGACACUAAGGCACGAAAGCGUAGGGAGCAAACGGGAUUAGAUACCCUUGUAGUC